GUUGGUGAGGUUACGGCUCACCAAGACAACGAUGGCUAGGGGGUCUGAGAGGAUGAUCCCCCACACUGGUACUGAGACACGGACCAGACUGCGUACGGGAGGCAGCAGUGAGGAAUAUUGGUCAAUGGACGCAAGUCUGAACCAGCCAUGCCGCGUGCAGGAUGAAUGCCCUAUGGGUUGUAAACUGCUUUUCUACAAGAAGAAUCUUCCUGAUGUAUCAGGAACUGACGGUAUUGUAGGAAUAAGCAUCGGCUAACUCCGUGCCAGCAGCCGCGGUAAUACGGAGGAUGCAAGCGUUAUCCGGAUUCAUUGGGUUUAAAGGGUGCGUAGGCGGGGUAGUAAGUCAGUGGUGAAAGCCUGCGGCUUAACCGUAGAAUUGCCAUUGAUACUGCUAUUCUUGAGUGCAGUUGAGGUAGGCGGAAUGUGUAAUGUAGCGGUGAAAUGCUUAGAUAUUACACAGAACACCGAUUGCGUAGGCAGCUUACUAAACUGUAACUGACGCUGAGGCACGAAAGCGUGGGGAGCGAACAGGAUUAGAUACCCUGGUAGUCCACGCUGUAAACUAUGAUCACUCGCUGUUGGCGAUACAUUGUCAGCGGCUGAGCGAAAGCAUUAAGUGAUCCACCUGGGGAGUACGGCCGCAAGGUUGAAACUCAAGGGAAUUGACGGGGGCCCGCACAAGCGGUGGAACAUGUGGUUUAAUUCGAUGAUACGCGAGGAACCUUACCUGGGCUUAAAUGCAGAACGACGUACCGGGAAACUGGUACUCCCUUCGGGGCGGACUGCAAGGUGCUGCAUGGUUGUCGUCAGUUCGUGCCGUGAGGUGUCGGGUUAAGUCCCAUAACGAGCGCAACCCUCAUUGUUAGUUGCCAGCGAGUAAUGUCGGGGACUCUAACAAAACUGCCGGUGUCAACCGUGAGGAAGGUGGGGAUGACGUCAAAUCAGCACGGCCCUUAUGUCCAGGGCUACACACGUGUUUACAAUGGCCAGUACAAAGGGCAGCUACCACGCGAGUGGAUGCUAAUCUCUAAAGCUGGUCUCAGUUCGGAUUGAAGUCUGCAACUCGACUUCAUGAAGCUGGAAUCGCUAGUAAUCGCGC
rnacentral:rRNA from 1 species